UAAGAAGGGGCUGUGUUUAUACCCAGGUCUGUUAUUGAUUUGAUUCUAAGGGGCUGUGUUUAUACCCAGGUCUGUUAUUGAUUUGAUUCUAAGAAGGGGCUGUGUUUAUACCCAGGUCUGUUAUUGAUUUGAUUCUAAGAAGGGGCUGUGUUUAUACCCAGGUCUGUUAUUGAUUUGAUUCUAAGAAGGGGCUGUGUUUAUACCCAGGUCUGUUAUUGAUUUGAUUCUAAGGGGCUGUGUUUAUACCCAGGUCUUUAAUUGAUUUGAUUCUAAGAAGGGGCUGUGUUUAUACCCAGGUCUGUUAUUGAUUUGAUUCUAAGAAGGGGCUGUGUUUAUACCCAGGUCUGCUAUUGAUUUGAUUCUAAGGGGCUGUGUUUAUACCCAGGUCUGCUAUUGAUUUGAUUCUAAGAAGGGGCUGUGUUUAUACCCAGGUCUGCUAUUGAUUUGAUUCUAAGAAGGGGCUGUGUGUUUAUACCCAGGUCUUUAAUUGAUUUGAUUCUAAGAAGGGGCUGUGUUUAUACCCAGGUCUGCUAUUGAUUUGAUUCUAAGAAGGGGCUGUGUGUUUAUACCCAGGUCUUUAAUUGAUUUGAUUCUAAGGGGCUGUGUGUUUAUACCCAGGUCUGUUAUUGAUUUGAUUCUAAGAAGGGGCUGUGUUUAUACCCAGGUCUGCUAUUGAUUUGAUUCUAAGGGGCUGUGUGUUUAUACCCAGGUCUGUUAUUGAUUUGAUUCUAAGGGGCUGUGUUUAUACCCAGGUCUUUAAUUGAUUUGAUUCUAAGAAGGGGCUGUGUUUAUACCCAGGUCUGUAAUUGAUUUGAUUCUAAGAAGGGGCUGUGUUUAUACCCAGGUCUGUUAUUGAUUUGAUUCUAAGAAGGGGCUGUGUUUAUACCCAGGUCUUUAAUUGAUUUGAUUCUAAGGGGCUGUGUUUAUACCCAGGUCUUUAAUUGAUUUGAUUCUAAGAAGGGGCUGUGUUUAUACCCAGGUCUGUUAUUGAUUUGAUUCUAAGAAGGGGCUGUGUUUAUACCCAGGUCUGUUAUUGAUUUGAUUCUAAGGGACUGUGUGUUUAUACCCAGGUCUGUUAUUGAUUUGAUUCUAAGGGGCUGUGUGUUUAUACCCAGGUCUGUUAUUGAUUUGAUUCUAAGGGGCUGUGUGUUUAUACCCAGGUCUUUAAUUUGACCGCAUUAGGACAGGGAACAGAAAGGAAGUGAUGGUGGAGUCCCCCCCCCCUCCCCUCUAAUGUCUCCACGUCUCUCUGAAGUCUGUUUAACUUCUGCCCCCCCCCUCUAAUGUCUCCACGUCUCUCUGAAGUCUGUUCUUCUGAAGAUGAUAUUCUGGACAGAAUAUCCCAUCAAAAUGGAUCCCUCAUUUUACAUGCUGUCCUGGUUUUACUGUCUGUUUUCUCCAGAUUUCCUUUUAAAUUUAUUUGUCUUCAUUCUUUUACAGCGUGUUGUUAUUCUGUCUCCUUUUUGUAGUUCUUCUUGUGUUUUAUUCAAGCCAACUGUUUGAGGUUUCUCUCUUUUU